UUCUGGAGGGCGUCACCAUCCCUGGUGAUGCACGGCUGGCUCUGCUGUUCACUCCUCGGGGAAGAUGCGGUUUGGGAAGUGCUCAUCGAUUGAUGGCUUAGACUGGGGGACACCACAAAAGAGCGUGGUAGGUGAUCUGGGGAGGGUUGGGAAGGACAGCAGCAGAGGAGGCCAGGGAACCUGGCAGAAUUCCGUGGGCAGCCUCCACCAAGCACAAAAGCAAUCCUUCACAAUACUCAGGGAGAACAGGCAGACAAACCAGCAGAUGUCUGUGUGCAGAUGGACAUUGCCCACCACACCUUCUUACCUCUUCCUUCUCUGA
rnacentral:lncRNA from 1 species